rnacentral:rRNA from 1 species
AGUUUGAAUCAUGGCUCAGAGUGAACGCUGGCGGUAGGCCUAACACAUGCAAGUCGAACGGCAGCACAGGAGAGCUUGCUCUCUGGGUGGCGAGUGGCGGACGGGUGAGGAAUACAUCGGAAUCUACUCUGUCGUGGGGGAUAACGUAGGGAAACUUACGCUAAUACCGCAUACGACCUACGGGUGAAAGCAGGGGACCUUCGGGCCUUGCGCGAUUGAAUGAGCCGAUGUCGGAUUAGCUAGUUGGCGGGGUAAAGGCCCACCAAGGCGACGAUCCGUAGCUGGUCUGAGAGGAUGAUCAGCCACACUGGAACUGAGACACGGUCCAGACUCCUACGGGAGGCAGCAGUGGGGAAUAUUGGACAAUGGGCGCAAGCCUGAUCCAGCCAUACCGCGUGGGUGAAGAAGGCCUUCGGGUUGUAAAGCCCUUUUGUUGGGAAAGAAAUCCAGCUGGCUAAUACCCGGUUGGGAUGACGGUACCCAAAGAAUAAGCACCGGCUAACUUCGUGCCAGCAGCCGCGGUAAUACGAAGGGUGCAAGCGUUACUCGGAAUUACUGGGCGUAAAGCGUGCGUAGGUGGUUAUUUAAGUCCGUUGUGAAAGCCCUGGGCUCAACCUGGGAACUGCAGUGGAUACUGGAUGACUAGAAUGUGGUAGAGGGUAGCGGAAUUCCUGGUGUAGCAGUGAAAUGCGUAGAGAUCAGGAGGAACAUCCAUGGCGAAGGCAGCUACCUGGACCAACAUNACACUGNGNNNNA